UACAGGGGGGGCAAGCGUUGUUCGGAAUUACUGGGCGUAAAGGGCCAGUAGGCGGCCAACUAAGUCCGACGUGAAAUCCCCAGGCUUAACCUGGGAACUGCGUCGGAUACUGGAUGGCUUGAAUUCGGGAGAGGGAUGCAGAAUUCCAGGUGUAGCGGUGAAAUGCGUAGAUAUCGUGAGGAAGACCAGUGGCGAAGGCGGGUCUCUGGACAGUUCCUGACGCUGAGGCGCGAAGGCCAGGGGAGCAAACGGG
rnacentral:rRNA from 1 species